GCCACCACCUCCCUGGGCAGGCCGGUUGCUACGUCUCAUCAGCCUUUCUGUGAAGAAAUUACUCCUAACGUACAGCCUGAGCUUCCCCUACCUCAGCUUGAUGCUCUGCCCUCUUGGCCGGUCACCUGGUACCGACCCCGACCUGGCUGCACCCUCAUUUCAGGCAGUUGUAGAGGUCUCCCCUGAGCCUGCUCCAGGUUAAACACCCUCAGCCGCUCUCACAGGACUUGUGCUCCAGAGCCUGCUGCCUCAGGUCUGCCCAGCUCCAUUGCCCAUCUCUCUCUGGACAGGCUCCAGCACCUCAGUGCCCUUGCAGGGAGAAGCUCAAAUAUGAACACAAGAUUUGAGGGACAGCCUCACCAGUGUGGAGUACAGGGGGAUAAUCACUGCCCUGGACCAGCUGGACACACUAUUGCUGAUACAGGCCAGGGUGCCAUUGAUCUUCUUGGUCAUUGAAGAGGUGAAUAAUGUAAAUUGCAGUUAUCGCCCAGAAAACAAGCUAAAAUACUACAGAAAUACUCUUCAGUCUUCUAGUUGUAGUUGAGCAAUUAGCUGUAUUGAGCCAGAAUAGGAAGUCCGUGAGAAGCACAGAGACUGGAGAAAAUAUCCAGACCCUUGUGGACUUCACAGAAUUUGCACUCUUGAUCCAAGGCUGCUAAUGGCUGUGACCCAUGCCCACGUCAAAGAUGACAGCUAUAGAGUCUGUGACAGGAGGACUUGCAACAAAGCUAAUGACAAUGCAAGAAGAAGGCAAAAGGAAAAGAAAGGAGAGGCUCCUCUGAGAGGACCUGAAAAUCAUUCUAAUUCCUGCUUUGAGCACAGAAUUGAAUUUCCAACCUGAAUUAUCUUAUGAUCCUGUAAAGUGCAACAUGUAACAUCCUAACACUUUCCCUGGAAGUGUUCAAGGCCAAAUUGGUUGGGGCUCCAGGAAAGUUGGUCAAGUGGAAGGCAUCCCUAUCCAUGGCACGAGGUUUAGAACUAGAUCAUAUUUAAGGUGCCUUUCAACCCAAACCAUUCUAUGAUUUCAUGAUAAAUGAAAGGCAUAAGGUGACCACAAAGUCCAGAAGACUCUGGUACUGUGUCCCAGAAUGCACUCCACUUUCUCAUCAAGUUACUCCUGUGCAGUCAUGGAGAGAAAGAUAAAAAGGCUGCAUAAUUGACAUUGUCAGGUUAAUAGUUGGACUUAGUGAUCUUAAGGGUCUUUUCAGCCUAAAUGAUUCUGUGACUCUGUGAUUCUAUUUAGUUUGGGUUCCCAUUUGCAUGAAUGCCAGUACAUUAUUUGAUUGUUACACUUAGUGUCUGAUAAUGCUUGUAUAUUUUAGCCCUUGAGCAAAGAAGCAAGCCCCAAGAAACCCUAGAUUUCCCUCCAAGUGAAAGACAAUGCCUAGUAGUUAACUUUAUUGCAUCCUUUGUAGAUUUCACUCAGUAUUGUAAAGGAGGAUAAUAACUUGGCAUUUCCUGCUGCACAUCAUCACAAGGACUUAGAGGAUAAAAUCUGUGUCUGGGACAGAUGCUGACCUGGAUUAGUGAAAGAACCUGAGCUACCAGAUCCUUUCACACAAUGCCCUGGGGCUGCAUAUUUGGGUCAUAGGGCCUGACUUUUCUCCAAAACUUGCAAAUGGAAAGGAAAAAAUAAAGCAGCACACAUCUGCUAACCAAAGUUUUGCAUCAGAACACCACCAUCUUCUGCAUGGCUGAAGCUACCAGUGAAAUAAAACACUUGAACUAAGGUAUGCAAAUGUGACUGUACACAUUACAACUUUGGGUUUGGGUUUCUUUUUUAAGCUUUAUUAGUAUAAUUCCGUUAAUUUUCCAGUAGAACAAUAUAUUGAAUUCUCUAUAAUAGUUCUGACAAAUGUUGACUUGAGACACUAAUUUUGUAAUAUGAGAAAAUCCAAGGCAAGUAACAGCAAAAGAAACUGAUAAUUCGAGAGUUUCGAGGCAAACAAUUUCUUUGCCCAAAAUUUCCAUACAAUUUCUGUGCACUAACAGAAAGGUUAUCUCAAUAGGGUUCAUAGGGGGAGCUGCUCGUAAAUCUAAAUAUUCACCAUGUGAUGCAGAUUAAUGUAAGAAAGACUAAAUAAUAAAA